ACUGGCUUCUCAUUUCUGCAAGCCGGGACUUGCCGCCCUAGUCCCCAAGGGCUCCCCCUGGAAUCCGAACACGCUGGAACGGUCUCAGGCAAACAGGCUUGCUCCAUCAGAUAGUCCUCCCAGCCCGGGCCAGGAAAGACACCCCAGCAGCAGAGAGCCAGACUCUUGGUGCCCAGCCGUUAGCUGCCAAGGCCUAUGUAGAAGACUCCAACUGGGGAGACCCCAACAGGCUGCAUAGCUUCUGCCCUCAUCUAUUAUCCUUGGAGCCGCCUAGUGGCCAACAUGGGACACUACGCCUCCAAGCUACUCUAGUUUCCAGCACUGUGGUGGUGGGGCUAAUUCUUUUUGCUUGGGCCUUUCUCUCUGUGUGAGGUUAACAGCCCAAGCCUUGGAAAGCUAAGGACUUGUUAAAGAUCACAGUCUCUUCUCUGUCUGUUUCAUACCAGAGGUCACUAACACCCAAAUGUUCAGCCGUACAUCCUAUUGAGUUCAGAUGCCAGAUCUGCUGAGUGACCAUGUCCUAUAGCUUGUAUUGAAUUAUCUUCAAUAAAAUCCCCAACUGAGAGAGACCGUGGAAGCCAGUCACGCCAUGGGUCCUAGCUGCCACCCACGCCAGGGAACAGCAGAGUCAUCUGACCACCAGAAUGGGACCCUCACCCUCAUCCCCAACUGCACCUAGAAGAGUGAUCACUGGAGACGUGAUACCACCGAAACCUGGAGCAGUGACCACUGGAGUCUUGGAUCUGUCUGCAGUGGAAGGAAUGACCAUCUGAGCCUUGGGCCCAAAUACAACUAGAGGGGGAAUCACCAAAAGCUCAGCCCUGCCUGCAUCUGAAAGAGCAUUCAAUAGAACCACAGCCCCCAACCACACCACUUGGAGGAAGAGGGACCCCCAGAAGCACAGGUGCCACCUCUACCGAAUGGAAGAAGAGAUGGGUAGACACGGUAAGAACACACUCAGCAACACAAAGAACAAUACAGCAGUGCUGCUACAACAGCAAGACCUGAACAAUCCCAAUGUAGAUGAAGCAGAAGAAAGCACCAUUAAAAACAGCUUUAUGAAGAUGAUUGAGGCCCUUAAAGAGGAAAUGAAAAAUUCCCUUAAAGA